UCUUGACUAGUAUAUCGGUUAGUACACGCGCUUGUCAUAUCACUGUAUGUGUGGAAUUUAACCGCGCGAAAGCUGGGUUCGACUCCCAGGUCGAGAG